UAUCUUUGAGAAACUAAUAUAAUACUUAAGUAUUAAUGGAGUCUAACAACUCCUCAAAGCAU
rnacentral:tRNA from 1 species